rnacentral:rRNA from 1 species
GAUGAACGCUGGCGGCGUGCCUAAUACAUGCAAGUCGAGCGAACGGACGAGAAGCUUGCUUUUCUGAUGUUAGCGGCGGACGGGUGAGUAACACGUGGAUAACCUACCUAUAAGACUGGGAUAACUUCGGGAAACAGGAGCUAAUACCGGAUAAUAUUUUGAACCGCAUGGUUCAAAAGUGAAAGACGGUCUUGCUGUCACUUAUAGAUGGAUCCGCGCUGCAUUAGCUAGUUGGUAAGGUAACGGCUUACCAAGGCAACGAUGCAUAGCCGACCUGAGAGGGUGAUCGGCCACACUGGAACUGAGACACGGUCCAGACUCCUACGGGAGGCAGCAGUAGGGAAUCUUCCGCAAUGGGCGAAAGCCUGACGGAGCAACGCCGCGUGAGUGAUGAAGGUCUUCGGAUCGUAAAACUCUGUUAUUAGGGAAGAACAUAUGUGUAAGUAACUGUGCACAUCUUGACGGUACCUAAUCAGAAAGCCACGGCUAACUACGU